rnacentral:rRNA from 1 species
UUAGUAGCAAUACUAACUGAGUGGCGAACGGGUGAGUAACGCGUGGGUGACCUACCUUCGAGUGGGGGAUAACGUCCCGAAAGGGACGCUAAUACCGCAUGACAUCCUGCCCUUGAACGGGUGGAGAUCAAAGCUGGGGAUCGCAAGACCCGGCGCUUGAAGAGGGGCCCGCGUCCGAUUAGCUAGUUGGUGAGGUAACGGCUCACCAAGGCGACGAUCGGUAUCCGGCCUGAGAGGGCGGACGGACACACUGGGACUGAGACACGGCCCAGACUCCUACGGGAGGCAGCAGUGGGGAAUUGUUCACAAUGGGCGCAAGCCUGAUGACGCAAUGCCGCGUGGAGGAUGAAGGUCUUCGGAUUGUAAACUCCUGUUGCCAGGGACGAAUGGCUCCGACCUAACACGUCGGAGAAUGACGGUACCUGGUGAGGAAGCCCCGGCUAACUCUGUGCCAGCAGCCGCGGUAAUACAGAGGGGGCGAGCGUUGUUCGGAAUUACUGGGCGUAAAGGGCGCGUAGGCGGCCUUCUAAGUCGAACGUGAAAUCCCCGGGCUCAACCCGGGAACUGCGUCCGAUACUGGGAGGCUUGAAUCCGGGAGAGGGAUGUGGAAUUCCAGGUGUAGCGGUGAAAUGCGUAGAUAUCUGGAGGAACACCGGUGGCGAAGGCGGCAUCCUGGACCGGUAUUGACGCUGAGGCGCGAAAGCCAGGGGAGCAAACGGGAUUAGAUACCCCGGUAGUCCUGGCCCUAAACGAUGAAUGCUUGGUGUGGCGGGUAUCGAU